rnacentral:rRNA from 1 species
AUGAAACUCCUAGCUUGGAACUGCCAGGGGCUCGGGAAUGCCCCGGCAGUUCGUGCUUUGCUGGACGUCCAACGAAGCAGUAAUCCCGAUGUGAUGUUUUUGUCGGAGACUCGCCUUGAUAGCUAUCCGGCAGAGUGUUUGCGUAGAAAGUUAAAGAUGGAUUUGAAAUUUGUGUGCCCAAGCAAUGGAAGGAAAGGAGGUCUGCUUUUAUUCUGGAAAAAAGAGAUUAAAAUACAAAGGCUUGAGCUAGACCCAAUGUUCAUUGAUGUGAAGAUAGAGGAGAGUAAUGGAGCGUGGUGGAGACUGACUGGGAUGUAUGGCGAAUUUCGUUGGGCAAACAAGUAUAAAACUUGGGACCGUAUGUGGGCAUUGCAUCAAAGCCAAAAUCUCCCUUGGCUUAUGAUGGGAGACCUAAACGAAAUCCAACUGCUUAAUGAAAAGGAAGGUGGAAACCCUCGUCCUCUGCAGUACAUGCAAGCGUUUUAA